rnacentral:rRNA from 1 species
GACGAACGCUGGCGGCGUGCCUAAUACAUGCAAGUAUGACGCACUUGCGAACGGGGGAGUAACGCGUAGGGAACUAACUAUUAGAGGGGGAUAACUAUUGGAAACGAUAGCUACAACCGCAAACUAGUAGAUGGACAUGCGUUGUAUGAGCUAGUAGGUAGGGUAAUGGCCGACAUAGGCAACGAUACAUAGCCGACGUGAGAGGGUGAUGCGCCAAACUGGGACUGAGACACGGCCCCUGAUCCUUCGGGAGGUAGGGGUGGUGAAUCGUCGGAAAUUGGGGGAACGCUUACCGAGCAACGGCGCGUGAGUGAAGAAGGUUUUCGGAUCGUAAAGCUCCGUUGUUAAGGAAGCGGUACUUAACCAGAAAGGGACGGCGAACUACGUGCCAGCAGCCGCGGUAAUUC